CAAGUCGCACGAGAAAGUGGAGCAAUCCAUGAGUAAAGUGGCGCACGGGUGAGUAACACGUGAAUCAUCUACCUUCGAGUGGGGAAUAACUGGGAGAAAUCUCAGCUAAUACCGCAUAAUACCUACGGGUCAAAGCAGCAAUGCGCUUGAAGAGGAGUUCGCGGCAGAUUAGUUAGUUGGCGGGGUAAUGGCCCACCAAGACGAUGAUCUGUAUCCGGCCUGAGAGGGCGCACGGACACACUGGAACUGAAACACGGUCCAGACUCCUACGGGAGGCAGCAGUGGGGAAUUUUGCGCAAUGGGGGAAACCCUGACGCAGCAACGCCGCGUGGAGGAUGAAAUCCCUUGGGAUGUAAACUCCUUUCGAUGGGGAAGAUAAUGACGGUACCCAUAGAAGAAGCCCCGGCUAACUUCGUGCCAGCAGCCGCGGUAAUACGAGGGGGGCAAGCGUUGUUCGGAAUUAUUGGGCGUAAAGGGUGCGUAGGCGGUCUGACAAGUCUGAUGUGAAAUCUAUGGGCUCAACCCAUAGUCUGCAUCGGAAACUGUCGGGCUUGAGUAUGGGAGAGGUGAGUGGAAUUUCCGGUGUAGCGGUGAAAUGCGUAGAUAUCGGAAGGAACACCUGUGGCGAAAGCGGCUCACUGGACCAUUACUGACGCUGAGGCACGAAAGCUAGGGGAGCAAACAGGAUUAGAUACCCUGGUAGUCCUAGCCCUAAACGAUGAUCGCUUGAUGUGGCAGGUACCCAAUCCUGCCGUGUCGAAGCUAACGCGAUAAGCGAUCCGCCUGGGGAG
rnacentral:rRNA from 1 species